GAGGAUUCCACCUAUAAGAGAAAAUGAGAAUACUGAAAUUCCACAACUGACCUAUUACUAGUUCCAGUGUUCCUGGAGCAAUGUUAAUUCUUCACCAUGGAUCUAAGUUCUUUGCAUGAACAAGGGUGAAAGGACCAUGCACUGAUCAGUGAAGAAUUCUAUGCAGUAUUAUCAUCUUAAGCACCAACAGUGAUAUUUACUGGAAUUGAUUAACAUCUGCAUAUGGAUACUU